rnacentral:rRNA from 1 species
GCAACCCUCGCUGUGUGUUAUAUGGUGUCACACGGGACUGGCCGGUCUUAAGCCGGAGGAAGGUGGGGAUGAUGUCAAGUCAGCAUGGCCUUUAUAUCCUGGGCUACACACACGCUACAAUGGCCAACACAAUAGGUUGCUAAGCCGCGAGGUGGCGCCAAUCCAUAAAGUUGGUCUCAGUUCAGAUUGUAGGCUGCAACCCGCCUGCAUGAAGAUGGAGUUGCUAGUAACCGCAGGUCAGCUAUACUGCGGUGAAUACGUUCCCGGGCCUU